CCUACGGGAGGCAGCAGUGGGGAAUUUUGGACAAUGGGGGAAACCCUGAUCCAGCAAUGCCGCGUGUGUGAAGAAGGCCUUCGGGUUGUAAAGCACUUUUGUCCGGAAAGAAAACUUUCCUGGUUAAUACCUGGGGAGGCUGACGUACC
rnacentral:rRNA from 1 species